GUGCCAGCCGCCGCGGUAAUACGUAGGGGGCGAGCGUUAUCCGGAUUUAUUGGGCGUAAAGCGCACGCAGGCGGUCGUGCAAGUGGAAGGUCACAGCUCCUGGCUUAACCGGGAGAGCGUCUUCCAAACUGCAUGACUUGAGAGCGAGAGAGGGACAUGGAACUCCGGGUGGAGCAGUGAAAUGCGUAGAGAUCCGGAAGAACACCAAGGCGAAGGCAGUGUCCUGGCUCGUCUCUGACGCUCAGGUGCGAAAGCGAGGGGAGCGAACGGGAUUAGAAACCCGGGUAGUCC
rnacentral:rRNA from 1 species